rnacentral:rRNA from 1 species
GACGAACGCUAGCGGCGUGCCUAAUACAUGCAAGUCGAACGCAGUGGGGACGGGUGAGUAACACGUGGGUAACCUCCCAUCAGAGGGGAUAACACUUGGAAACAGGUGCUAAACCGAUACUGAUGGAUGGACCCGCGGGGCAUUAGCUAGGCGGUGAGGUAACGGCUCACCAAGGCCACGAUGCAUAGCCGACCUGAGAGGGUGAUCGGCCACACGGGGACUGAGACACGGCCCAGACUCCUACGUGAGGCAGCAGUAGGGAAUCUUCGGCAAUGGAAGAAAGUCUGACCGAGCAACGCCGCGUGAGUGAUGAAGGUUUUCGGAUUGUAAAACUCUGUUGUUAGAGAAGCGGUAUCUAACCAGAAUGCCACGGCUAACUACGUGCCAGCAGCCGCGGUAAUAC